AUACGAAGGGUGCAAGCGUUAAUCGGAAUUACUGGGCGUAAAGCGCGCGUAGGUGGUUUUGUAAGUUGGAGGUGAAAGCCCCGGGCUCAACCUGGGAAUUGCCUCCAAAACUGCAUGACUAGAGUACGGUAGAGGGUAGUGGAAUUUCCUGUGUAGCGGUGAAAUGCGUAGAUAUAGGAAGGAACACCAGUGGCGAAGGCGACUACCUGGACUGAUACUGACACUGAGGUGCGAAAGCGUGGGGAGCAAACAGGAUUAGAUCCCCGGGUAGUCCACGCCGUAAACGAUGUCAACUAGCCGUUGGGAUCCUUGAGAUCUUAGUGGCGCAGCUAACGCAUUAAGUUGACCGCCUGGGGAGUACGGCCGCAAGGUUAAAACUCAAAUGAAUUGACGGGG
rnacentral:rRNA from 1 species